rnacentral:rRNA from 1 species
UACGCAGGGGGCUAGCGUUGCUCGGAAUCACUGGGCGUAAAGCGCACGUAGGCGGCUUGCUAAGUCAGGGGUGAAAUCCUGGAGCUCAACUCCAGAACUGCCUUUGAUACUGGCGAUCUCGAGUCCGGGAGAGGUGAGUGGAACUGCGAGUGUAGAGGUGAAAUUCGUAGAUAUUCGCAAGAACACCAGUGGCGAAGGCGGCUCACUGGCCCGGUACUGACGCUGAGGUGCGAAAGCGUGGGGAGCAAACAGG